CCGCACCCUCUGCUUGGCCUCACUCUUCUGCCACGCAGCAGGCCUGUCGACAGGAUCUCUGCAAAAUGAAGGUGGACGUCAGAUGGCUCAAAAUGAUGAUCAGCAUUGACCAACAUGAACUACUAUACCGGUCUCGACAAAGUCAGGAGACAUGAAGCUGGAAGCUGAAAAUCUGAACUGAUGGAGAAACAAGGUGUGCUUUAGUUGGUUGACUUGACCAUUCGGUGACAUCCAGGACAGAUGGUCCUGGUGUUCUUGGAUCUUGCGUUCAUCUUCUCAGAGCAGUUACAGGAAUAAGAACAUGGCAGGGCUGAAGACACAGAAUCGCAAGAACAUGGCGGAGCUAAAGACAAAGUGAAGACAUGAAAAACCUUGGCGAAUCUACAGCCUUGCAUUGAUCAAGUGGGAUUGGGACAGAUGUGUGAACAAGAGGUCACACACAAGCAUGGCUAUGAUGAUGCUGGAGGCUGGAUUCAACAGCAAAGACAAUCUGAGGAAGGAGCUGCAUCUGCCAGUCUGACCUUGGAGUGCAGCUGUGAAGCCCUUUCGCCCUCAUGAUCAAGCCACCCAGCAGCUGUGGCAUCCAGUCUGUGUUGAAACAUCCUUGAGCAAGACAGGGCCCCAAACUGCUCUUAAUGGGUGUGCCAUCAGUAUGUGUGAAUGUUUAACGGGGGUAGCCCCGUGUGUGUGUGUGUGGUAGAAAUGUGAAUGUAUUAUCAUGAAUAUCAAGAACUUGAAGUGCUUUUGCAAAAUUGUGGCAAUAAACACAAAAUA